rnacentral:rRNA from 1 species
UGCGUAGGCGGAUUAAUAAGUCAGUGGUGAAAUCUUUCGGCUCAACCGAGAAACUGCCAUUGAUACUGUUAAUCUGGAGUUCGGUUGAGGUAGGCGGAAUGUGUAAUGUAGCGGUGAAAUGCUUAGAUAUUACACAGAACACCAAUUGCGUAGGCAGCUUACUAGACCGACACUGACGCUGAGGCACGAAAGCGUGGGGAGCGAACAGGAUUAGAUACCCUGGUAGUCC